rnacentral:rRNA from 1 species
UACAGAGGUGGCAAGCGUUGUUCGGAAUUACUGGGCGUAAAGGGCGCGUAGGCGGCUUGGUCAGUCCCGUGUGAAAUCCCCUCGGCUCAACUGAGGAACUGCACGGGAAACUGCCUGGCUUGAGUUCGGGAGAGGGAAGCGGAAUUCCGGGUGUAGCGGUGAAAUGCGUAGAUAUCCGGAGGAACACCCGUGGCUAAGGCGGCUACCUGGCCCAAUACUGACACUCAGGUGCGACAGCGUGGGGAGGCAAACAGG